rnacentral:rRNA from 1 species
AUUGAACGCUGGCGGCAGGCUUAACACAUGCAAGUCGAGCGAGCGGCGGACGGGUGAGUAAUGUCUGGGAAACUGCCUGAUGGAGGGGGAUAACUACUGGAAACGGUAGCUAAUACCGCAUACCCUCAGAUGUGCCCAGAUGGGAUUAGCUAGUAGGUGGGGUAAUGGUGCACCUAGGCGACGAUCCCUAGCUGGUCUGAGAGGAUGAACAGCCACACUGGAACUGGGAACCGGUCCAGACUCCUCCGGGAGGCAGCAGUGGGGAAGAUUGCACAAGGGGCGCAAGCCUGAUGCAGCCAUGCCGCGUGUGUGAAGAAGGCCGUCGGGUUGUAAAGCACUUUCAGCGAGGAGGCGUUACUCGCCGAAGAAGCACCGGCUAACUCCGUGCCAGCAGCGGCGGUAAUAC